AGUACGCCAGUGGCACUCGUAGAGGAAGGGUCACGCACGUCCGCUCCGGCACCCCCUGGCCCUCGCUCUGACUGUGCGGUUUUGCGGCAAGAAAAAAAAUAGAAAAAAAUAAUCUGUUUGUGGAACGAAAAACAGAAAAAAAGGAAAAGAAAAAUUAACUGAGAGAUAAGAAA